UGCAGGAAAUGGGUCCUGUGUCUUACUUAAGUGAUCUAGUCUUUUCAACAGCUGCGAGUUUGUUGCAUUUAAAGGCUGCACUUUCAUCUUCAUAUACUCUAUGCCAUUGUUCAGAACUAUCUUCUCAUUAAGGAACCCAACUUUCUGUUUAUUGACAUACUUUCCAUAAAUGCAUCUAAAGAGACAGGGAGAAAUAAGACUCAGAAUCAGUAAGUGAGAAGCCCUAGAGUAAGAAAAGAACACAAAGGUUUCCUAAAAGGCAGAGGACCUAGGUCACGGCUAAGUUUUAAAAGAGGAUGGAAUAUCAUUAAAAAUGAGAUCUUGCUGGCCUCACUGAAGUACACAAUUAUCAUUUUAAGAGGUUUAUUUUAUGGUCUUAAUAUUACAGAUGUGGACAAAGUGUUCUGAAGAACUAGUCAUCAAAAAUGCCAAAGAUCUAAGUCCUAAUGACUUUAUCUCUGAAAUUCAGUUAAAAAAAAAUCAAUGAUUGUCAUUAACUUUGGGAGAGUAACUCCUCAAAUAUGACUUCCUUGUAGCUUCCACAGUUUAUUGCUCAGGACUCUAGAUUUUAUUGAUGCCUCAUCCUGACAUUAGAACUGUCCCUCAUACAUUUUUGUUCCUUCCCUGCCUAGUACACUAAAAUUAAUGAAAAAGGAAAAACAAAAGAAAUGACACGGAGAUAACAGGCCUGCUGGAUCUUGCUACUUUGUUAAGGGAGAAAUCAGCAGCUGGUCUGUUGCCUUUCAUGGGAAGAUGAAGGGGCUCAGGCUCUAUUUAUCAGAUGCCUCACUGGGUGCCAUCCAUUGAGCUAAACAAGAUGUGUCUACCUAAACCUCCAGUUGACCUGAAAGGAAGAAGUUCCUGUAGCUGAGGUCGAAGAGGUUGCUGCCUGUGUUCAUCUCAAGGAUUUUGAUGGAUUCCUGUCUCACAUUGAGGUCCUUCAUCAAUUUGGAGUCUACUUUUGUGUGUGGUGUAAGGAAAUGGCCCAGUUUCAUUCUUCUGCAUGUGGUUGUCCAAUUCUUCCAACACUAGGUAGAUAUUUUUGAGCGCCCUUUAUCUAAAGACACAUAGAUAAAUGAGAGUUUGAACAUACCCUCAAGGAACUAAGUUCAGACAGAGGACAUAAGGAACUAAGUUUAGAUGUAGGAUAUACAUGAUUGUAAUACAGGAGAGGUAUAAAAAUAGUGUUUUUAUUACAUUAAGGAGGAUGGUUAAUUCUCAGGGAGAAACUUGGAAAGGUCUUAAAGAUUUGUUGUGUGGAUUAUUUUAAGUGUAUCAUUUCCAGAUUAGGCACCAGGUGGGCCCUCUGAGAAGACUGUAGAGUCUGAUGCCUGUAACCUUUGCCUCUCCCUCAAAAAAAGCACUUCCUUUGACAUUAGUCCCAUUGGCCACACUUAAAAUGAGCACCGGAACAGGGUGUGAACAGCCUUCUUGGACCACUUGCUGUCUGUAGAUAUUUGGACUCCAAGGGUUGUUUUCAACAAAAAUUUGAACAAAAACUCUUUUAGUCCUAGCCCAUGCUAUCUUGGGUCAUUCACUUAUCUCAAAAUCUUAAGAGUCUCUUUAUCAGCAUGAUUAAAAUCAGUUCCAUGUGUCAAAUAAUAUCCAAAAAAAUUUUUUUUUAAGACACAGUUUUCAGGGGCGCCUGAGUAGCUCAGUAGGUUAAGCCUCAGCCUUUGGCUUAAGUCGUGAUCUCCAGGUCCUGGGAUCGAGCCCCAUGUCAGGCUCUCUGCUAAGCAGGGAGCCUGCUUCCUCCUCUCUCUCUG